GGUGAUGUUUAGUUUGAUCAUUUGGUGAAGGUGACACAUUCUGCCUUGAAAAGGAAAUUGUUAGAAUUUCACUCAUAACUUUAUUGUCAAAUUAGAAUUCUGGUGAUUUGCCUGCUUGAAAAUCAAAGUGUAUCAUUCUGAUAUUUUCAUUUAGCUACUUGUUGGACAUAAUGUAAAUGGUUUGGUUAGUUAUUAGACUUGGCAGUAUCUUUGUGUAGAACUUUUUCAAGAGCUCAAAAUUAUUUCACGUUUGUUAUUUCACUGUAUAUUUUUUGUUUCUCUAGAGAGAGAGUUACUAUGGUCUUGAUAUACAUGGGGUCUUGGCAAUCGUGCAGGAAGUAGCCCCAACUUCUUCUCUUGGUCAUGCUGUCAUUCAUGCGGUUAUGUAGUUAAGUCUUAGCUAUGUUGGCGAUGGGUGGGUAGGAUGAGUUGAAAAGUGUAAAGUAACUAGGUGUAAAAGUUGACUGAUUUAGGUUUGAUCUUAUGUUCAUGUAUAGCAUCUUGCAUUCUGCACUGUCACUUGAGUAAUGCAUACCACUAUUUGGAUAUGGGAAAGAAUUUGUCACCCAUGGGGUAGGGAACUUUAGAGAUGACAGACUUCCUUUUUGAUUCAAAUAAGUCUGAAUUAUUAUUUCAGAUGAGUGGACUGGAAAAUAUGGACAUCUUUCAUUUUGAACUUCCACAGUUGUUAGGAAAUUUAGACAUUUAGGUCAUUUCCAGUGUUUCACUAUUGAAGACGGUGCUGCCGUAAAGGAUGGCAGAGUCAGUGCCCAGGAGCCUCGGCAGCCGAAUGUGCAGAGCUCUUGACAAGUGACCAAACCCGAGCAGAGGGCUUGUAGGUAUAUUUUUGAGUAGAAACUUGAGAUACGUGGUCUGUCAGAACAUUUUUUGCUCUUUCUAGGUGUAAGAUCCAGUCUGGAAGAUGUAGUGUAGGCAGUAAAGUUUUCU
rnacentral:lncRNA from 1 species